UACGGAGGGUGCAAGCGUUAAUCGGAAUCACUGGGCGUAAAGCGCGCGUAGGCGGCUUUGUAAGUCAGGGGUGAAAUCCCACCGCUCACCGGUGGAACUGCCCUUGAUACUGCAUUGCUUGAGUGAGUGAGAGGAUAGUGGAAUUCCUGGUGUAGGAGUGAAAUCCGUAGAGAUCAGGAGGAACAUCAGUGGCGAAGGCGACUAUCUGGCACUAUACUGACGCUGAGGUG
rnacentral:rRNA from 1 species